rnacentral:rRNA from 1 species
AGAGUUUGAUCAUGGCUCAGAAUCAACGCUGGCGGCGUGCCUCAGACAUGCAAGUCGAACGAUUAAGACUCUCUUCGGAGAGUGUAUAGAGUGGCGCACGGGUGAGUAACACGUAGGUAAUUUGCCUUCGGGUGGGGAAUAACUUGGGGAAACCCAAGCUAAUACCGCAUAAUGCAGCGGCACCAAAUGGUGACAGUUGUUAAAGCUUUAUGUGCCUGAAGAGAAGCCUGCGGUGGAUUAGGUAGUUGGUAAGGUAAUGGCUUACCAAGCCUGCGAUCCAUAUCCGGUCUUAGAGGACGGUCGGACACACUGACACUGAAUAACGGGUCAGACUCCUACGGGAGGCAGCAGUCGGGAAUUUUGGGCAAUGGGCGAAAGCCUGACCCAGCAACGCCGCGUGAAGGAUGAAGUCCUUCGGGAUGUAAACUUCGGAAGAAUGGGAAGAAUAAAUGACGGUACCAUUUUUAAGCCCCGGCUAACUCCGUGCCAGCAGCCGCGGUAAUACGGAGGGGGCAAGCGUUGUUCGGAUUUACUGGGCGUAAAGGGCGCGUAGGCGGCGCAACAAGUCACUUGUGAAAUCUCCGGGCUUAACUCGGAACUGCCAAGUGAUACUGUCGUGCUAGAGUGCAGAAGGGGCAAUCGGAAUUCUUGGUGUAGCGGUGAAAUGCGUAGAUAUCAAGAGGAACACCAGAGGCGAAGGCGGAUUGCUGGGCUGACACUGACGCUGAGGCGCGAAAGCUAGGGUAGCAAACGGGAUUAGAUACCCCAGUAGUCC